rnacentral:snRNA from 1 species
AUACUUACCUGGCAGGGGAGAUACCAUGAUCACGAAGGUGGUUUUCCCAGGGCGAGGCUUAUCCAUUGCACUCCGGAUGUGCUGACCCCUGCGAUUUCCCCAAAUGUGGGAAACUCGACUGCAUAAUUUGUGGUAGUGGGGGACUGCAUUCGCACUCUCCCCUG